UUAAAUAUCCAGUAUUAGAGUCACAAAUUCAAACAGUAAAGUGCACCCAUUUAUAGACAUGACGUGAUGGAAACCCAUUAGUGCAAGAAUUCUGGGCAAACGGAACAUACAACCUAUAAGCUGAAGUUUGUCACCACUGUCUCCAUUUCAGGGUGAUGUGAACAGGAUGAGAGGAACUUACUGGUUUCAUAUGAAAAAUCCCCCUCCCCCUGCCCCACCUGAAGCCAGACAUUGAUUCAGCAAAUGCUGUUGGGAGAGGGGCAACUCUCAGGAAGACCAGCAACAACCUAAAGGAACACUCAAGACCUGAAGACUGCAGGGAGCUGGCAGUAGGGGAGACCAGGGCACCAGAAUGCACUGGGGCUGGCUAUCUGGAAAACACGGGGUUAGAGUGCAAAGGCAAAGGGAGCAUCACACUCUUUCUAAAGUUCCUGGAAGAAAACGAACAAGAACAUCUUAUUUUUGUAAAAAAAAAAAAAAAA